UUGAAGAGUUUGAUCAUGGCUCAGAUUGAACGCUGGCGGCAGGCCUAACACAUGCAAGUCGAACGGUAACAGGAAGCAGCUUGCUGCUUUGCUGACGAGUGGCGGACGGGUGAGUAAUGUCUGGGAAACUGCCUGAUGGAGGGGGAUAACUACUGGAAACGGUAGCUAAUACCGCAUAACGUCGCAAGACCAAAGAGGGGGACCUUCGGGCCUCUUGCCAUCGGAUGUGCCCAGAUGGGAUUAGCUAGUAGGUGGGGUAACGGCUCACCUAGGCGACGAUCCCUAGCUGGUCUGAGAGGAUGACCAGCCACACUGGAACUGAGACACGGUCCAGACUCCUACGGGAGGCAGCAGUGGGGAAUAUUGCACAAUGGGCGCAAGCCUGAUGCAGCCAUGCCGCGUGUAUGAAGAAGGCCUUCGGGUUGUAAAGUACUUUCAGCGGGGAGGAAGGGAGUAAAGUUAAUACCUUUGCUCAUUGACGUUACCCGCAGAAGAAGCACCGGCUAACUCCGUGCCAGCAGCCGCGGUAAUACGGAGGGUGCAAGCGUUAAUCGGAAUUACUGGGCGUAAAGCGCACGCAGGCGGUUUGUUAAGUCAGAUGUGAAAUCCCCGGGCUCAACCUGCGAACUGCAUCUGAUACUGGCAAGCUUGAGUCUCGUAGAGGGGGGUAGAAUUCCAGGUGUAGCGGUGAAAUGCGUAGAGAUCUGGAGGAAUACCGGUGGCGAAGGCGGCCCCCUGGACGAAGACUGACGCUCAGGUGCGAAAGCGUGGGGAGCAAACAGGAUUAGAUACCCUGGUAGUCCACGCCGUAAACGAUGUCGACUUGGAGGUUGUGCCCUUGAGGCGUGGCUUCCGGAGCUAACGCGUUAAGUCGACCGCCUGGGGAGUACGGCCGCAAGGUUAAAACUCAAAUGAAUUGACGGGGGCCCGCACAAGCGGUGGAGCAUGUGGUUUAAUUCGAUGCAACGCGAAGAACCUUACCUGGUCUUGACAUCCACAGAACUUUCCAGAGAUGGAUUGGUGCCUUCGGGAACUGUGAGACAGGUGCUGCAUGGCUGUCGUCAGCUCGUGUUGUGAAAUGUUGGGUUAAGUCCCGCAACGAGCGCAACCCUUAUCCUUUGUUGCCAGCGGUCCGGCCGGGAACUCAAAGGAGACUGCCAGUGAUAAACUGGAGGAAGGUGGGGAUGACGUCAAGUCAUCAUGGCCCUUACGACCAGGGCUACACACGUGCUACAAUGGCGCAUACAAAGAGAAGCGACCUCGCGAGAGCAAGCGGACCUCAUAAAGUGCGUCGUAGUCCGGAUUGGAGUCUGCAACUCGACUCCAUGAAGUCGGAAUCGCUAGUAAUCGUGGAUCAGAAUGCCACGGUGAAUACGUUCCCGGGCCUUGUACACACCGCCCGUCACACCAUGGGAGUGGGUUGCAAAAGAAGUAGGUAGCUUAACCUUCGGGAGGGCGCUUACCACUUUGUGAUUCAUGACUGGGGUGAAGUCGUAACAAGGUAACCGUAGGGGAACCUGCGGUUGGAUCACCUCCUU
rnacentral:rRNA from 1 species